rnacentral:lncRNA from 7 species
AGGUCUCUGUGCAGGUUCAGGCCGGAGGCAGGAUCCUGGUGGUGUGAGCGGGGUGCCCCUGUGGAGCAAGGGUGGAAGGUGCGUGGCAGGCCCUGUCCCGGAGGAGUGGAGUUGAUGGAGCGUGGCCCUUUGAUGCUGGAGUGAGGGGUCCUGGUGGGGCUGAAGUCCUGCGUGGAAGAGGGAGAUCCCAGGCGCUGCGAUGCGGAGGAGGAGCGGAGCCAGUGGUGGCUCCUGUGUGGUGAUGGCUGCUUAGUGGUGGUGUUCCUGGUCCUGGGCUGAAAGGAGGAGGAGGAGAAAGCUUUUAGUGUGUUACUUCAAAGCUCAGGCUUGGAUGACCUUGCUGAGGCUGAACAAGAGUACAAAACCUGUGAGUUAAAUGGGUGGAACAAAACUACAGCUGCUGCACCUUACCGGGCCGAGAGUCGUGACCUGAUCUUCCAUCUUUUACACAAAACGAGUCAGAUCUUCAGCUUGCUGCCACGAGUAACUCACACAUUCUCCAAUUCCUCGUAUGGAAAGAAGGCUUUCUUCUAAGGGAUUAUUCCAAUGCGUAAAAUCGGUGAAUUCACCUGUACAGUAAUGAAAUACUUUCAAUAAUUUCAUGCAAAACUUUCUUUAAGCAGUGCCUUGGGCCAAUCUUUCCAUGUGAGAGCUGCAUGAGUAAAAGUUCUCCUUUCGGUCCAUUUCUGACUUAUUUUUUAUAAUUUAGUUUAAAAGUUCAAGUCAUCCAACCAAAGCUGUGACAACAGGAAUAACAGGCUCGUGGUAUAACAGCAGUAGGAUUUAGGCACCUGUGGAGGGAGAAACACUGAAGAUUUCACCGUGGGUUCAGGGUGGGCCAAACAUUAAAAUCCCUUUCUUGGUUUAAG